rnacentral:rRNA from 1 species
AGAGUUUGAUCAUGGCUCAGAUUGAACGCUGGCGGCAGGCCUAACACAUGCAAGUCGAGCGGUAACAGGAAGUAGCUUGCUACUUCGCUGACGAGCGGCGGACGGGUGAGUAAUGCCUGGGAAUAUGCCUUGAUGUGGGGGAUAACUAUUGGAAACGAUAGCUAAUACCGCAUAAUGCCUACGGGCCAAAGAGGGGGAUCUUCGGACCUCUCGCGUCAAGAUUAUCCCAGGUGGGAUUAGCUAGUUGGUGGGGUAAAGGCUCACCAAGGCGACGAUCCCUAGCUGGUCUGAGAGGAUGAUCAGCCACACUGGAACUGAUACACGGUCCAGACUCCUACGGUAGGCAGCAGUGGGGAAUAUUGCUCAAUGGGGGAAACCCUGAUGCAGCCAUGCCGCGUGUAUGAAUAAGGCCUUCGGGUUGUAAAGUACUUUCAGCAGUGAGGAAGGUGGUAGUGUUAAUAGCGCUAUCAUUUGACGUUAGCUGCAGAAGAAACACCGGUUAACUCCGUGCCAGCAGUCGCUGUAAUACGGAGGGUGCGAGCGUUAAUCGGAAUUACUGGGCGUAAAGCGCAUGUUGGCGAUCUGUUAAGCCAGAUUGACAACCGGGCUCACCCUCGUAACUCCAUUUUUAACUGGCAGAUUAGAGUCUUGAUAGGGAGG